UUGAACGCUGGCGGCAGGCCUAACACAUGCCAGUCGAGCGGAUGAAGGGAGCUUGCUCCUGGAUUCAGCGGCGGACGGGUGAGUAAUGCCUAGGAAUCUGCCUGGUAGUGGGGGAUAACGUCCGGAAACGGGCGCUAAUACCGCAUACGUCCUGAGGGAGAAAGUGGGGGAUCUUCGGACCUCACGCUAUCAGAUGAGCCUAGGUCGGAUUAGCUAGUUGGUGGGGUAAAGGCCUACCAAGGCGACGAUCCGUAACUGGUCUGAGAGGAUGAUCAGUCACACUGGAACUGGGACACGGUCCAGACUCCUACGGGAGGCAGCAGUGGGGAAUAUUGGACAAUGGGCGAAAGCCUGAUCCAGCCAUGCCGCGUGUGUGAAGAAGGUCUUCGGAUUGUAAAGCACUUUAAGUUGGGAGGAAGGGCAGUAAGUUAAUACCUUGCUGUUUUGACGUUACCAACAGAAUAAGCACCGGCUAACUUCGUG
rnacentral:rRNA from 1 species